CGCCUUGUGUUCCGUAAUUUCGGAGUUCAUUACGUUUUUGUUUGGGCUCGCAUUGCUCGUAUUGCUCGUCUAUUAUAUUUCUGAGUAGUGUUUUGUUUAUUGAUAUUCUUUUGACCAUAAGCCAUUCAAUUCAUAAAUAAAAUGACAAGAUUCGUAUGUUUUGCUGUGGUAAGGUAUGAAUAUGAUUUAAUAUGCUUAAUGUCGUCUAUUCUACCGCAGUGCGGUGUAUGUAACUUAUUGCUUACCCUUCCGGAGCACCUGAGAUCACUCCUAGUUUUUUGGUGGGGUUCGUGUUGUUUAUUCUUUAGUCUUCUAUGUUGUGUCGUGUGUGCUAUUGUUUGUUUGUCCUUUUCAUUUUUAGCCAUGGC
rnacentral:lncRNA from 1 species